rnacentral:rRNA from 1 species
AGAGUUUGAUCCUGGCUCAGGAUGAACGCUGGCGGCGUGCUUAACACAUGCAAGUCGAGCGAGAAGUUUUGAAAAGAUUCUUCGGAUGAAAUUUAAAAUGGAAAGCGGCGGACGGGUGAGUAACGCGUAGGCAACCUGCCCCAUACAAAGGGAUAGCAUUUGGAAACGAAUAUUAAUACCUUAUGAAACUUAACUAGUGCAUGCUAGGUAGGUCAAAGAUUUAUCGGUAUGGGAUGGGCCUGCGUCUGAUUAGCUAGUUGGUGAGGUAACGGCUCACCAAGGCGACGAUCAGUAGCCGACCUGAGAGGGUGAACGGCCACAUCGGAACUGAGACACGGCCCAAACUCCUACGGGAGGCAGCAGUGGGGAAUAUUGCACAAUGGGGGAAACCCUGAUGCAGCAACGCCGCGUGAACGAUGAAGGCCUUUGGGUCGUAAAGUUCUGUUCUAGGUGAUGAAAACUGACAGUAACCUAGGAGAAAGCCCCGGCUAACUCCGUGCCAGCAGCCGCGGU